UAUAACGUUUAAAUGAAAAAAAUGUUUUGUGUUGUACUUACUAACCCUCAUAUGAAAUUGACAAGAUUUUGAAAAUCUGCAUAUUUUAGAUACACUGAAAAUAUAAAUAUCGAAGGGUGUGGUAUGUUUGAUUCAUCAUACUGAUAUUAGCCGAAAUAACUCACUUUUUGGGCAGAGUACUUAUAUAUUUCUAUAAUGAAAAAAAAUAUUAAGUUCAUAACCUAAUGUUCUUUCGCAUAUGAACAGGCAGUUUAAAGUCACUACCAAUUAAUAGCACUAGAAUUCAAGCACUUUAGAUUUUAAAUAAUUGAAUCUGACCGCUGAAAAAUGGGUUGCAAACCUACGAAAGCAAGCCAAAAAAAUCAAAGCUCAUAUAUUCAGCUAUGAAAAAGUCUGUACAAAUCAUGCACAUUCAAACUUUAAAUGGCUAUCCUAUUUACAGGUUACACUCUCUGCUGGGAUAAUGUUGCCAAAUAUACUUCCGCCAGACACCAUUCUCAGGAGAGUGACAACAAAUUAAAUCUAUGGGCUCUUGCCAUCUUCGCUAGCCAAGGGUUACGAUCCACUCCCGCUCUCUUCGUGAAGAUGAUUCCGACGUUCCAAAUGAAGAAGAGCCAAUGGUUGGUUGUGAGAACCGGGAAUGUAAACGAGGCGAAUAAUUUCAUUUGUCUUGUGUGAAAUUGCCAGAACUGCCGUCUGAUGGUUAUUCGCGUUAGACUGAGUGUAUAGCUUAUGUUCAUACGAUUGUGAUUUUACAAGAGAUCUUUUUCUAUAUUGUUUCCGCUAAAUUAUCUGUGCAAAUGAGUUUCCCUUUUCUGUAUCAAUUCAUUAUCGAUUACUUUACUAGUAUUUCAAUAGUUUCAUUUCGAAGUGGACAUUUAAAUGAUAUCUCUACUUAUAAUGUUUCUACAUAUUUCUUUGCUUAUGGUUCUCAAUUAUAAGUAAUAUGUUUCUUACAGAUGAUGUUUGGUAUUGUUCUGAGGUUUGCAGACAUGAAUCGACCAGGUCGGUCGGUAUUGACCAUAAGUACGAAUAUAUCAAAUCAGUAAUUUGGGACGGCUUGAAUCAGAUGGUCAGACAUGACGCAAUCAGGCAAAAUGAUGGACCAGCCAUGAUCAGUUUUUGGCGCCAUGACAUGCUGCAAUUCCAUCAACACCAUCAUCCUAAAUAUCUUAUUCUUGGUCACAGACUUCUUGCUAGCAUCAACGGUUGGUUGCCAGAGAAACUACAAAAUGACCUCAUAUGGAACAGAACAGUAAAUUACAGAGGAGGUGCAGGACACAAUCUGGAAAUGGACGGCUCAUGAAUGAGUUUUUGAACCGAGAAUUCAAAGUUGCAUACUAUGUAUUAUUAAUCAAUUAUACAGAAACACAAACACAAGCCAAAUCAAUAUUUCACGAAUAUGGUUAUCAAAAUGAUACAAUUUAAAAGUAGUCCUAAACUCCCAAGUAUUGCUCAAAGUGGUCAAAAUUUUGUCGUACUGAUGGUUAUACAAAAUAAAUUUUGAUUAACGGUAUUAAAAAUAAAAAGCAAGAAAUUAUAUUUUUGAUAUACAGAUGCAACGGGUAAAUAGGCAUAGUGUCAAGUUCAGGAAAAGGAUAAUAUAAAUGUCAUAAAAGGCAGAUGUAGUUUUGGAAAGAAUGUAUAAUUACUUGCAAUCAACGUUCACAAAAUAGUGGCUGUAUCUAAAAUUAUAGGAAUGUUAUUAUUUUCUAAACAAGCUGUUUUUGCCAAUGAGUUUUAACUUCGACUUCGUCAUUUCGAAAGAGUUAGAUAGUUUACGUAUUAGUAUACAAUAAGGUCUCUUAAAUUGUUAUUGGAAUAUGAAAAUCUGUACAAAAUAUCUCGUAUAAAAACAAAAGUAAAAGGAAACAUAUUCUGUACUUUGAUUAGAAAUUAAUAUGAGCUUGACAAUGACUUUAUAUGAUUUGCGAAGUUUAUUCUGUAAAUAUAAAUACUCAUCUCUUUAUUUACAGAUCGUAUAGGUUCAUCUGCAAAUGUUUUGACAGAUGAUGUAGUAGCUAGGCAUGCACAGCUGUCUGGUGGAAUUGGUCAAACUUUAGACAGUUUGUACCAAUAUUCGGUGGCCACGAGGACCACCGAUUUUCACAGUACUGGGUCCAAAAGAGAUAACGAAAAGGACAUAAUCACAUUUUGUAAAUUGUUAAAAAAAAGAAAAACUGACAACUAUUGUACAGGAUCGCAAAUUUUCUGAAUUUCCUACUUUUGUCCAUACACAAAAGGUUAAAUCCCCAGGAUUUUUUUUUCAAGAAAAUGGUCCAACUGUCCAUUAAAUUGGACAAGAGGAAACAUCUAAUUGCCAAUGAUUAAAAU